rnacentral:rRNA from 1 species
UACGUAGGGGGCAAGCGUUGUCCGGAAUCAUUGGGCGUAAAGCGCGUGUAGGCGGCUUGGUAAGUCUGGUGUGAAACCCUGGGGCUCAACCCCAGGCCUGCACUGGAUACUGCCUGGCUAGAGUCCGGGAGAGGGUAUCGGAAUUCCUAGUGUAGCGGUGAAAUGCGCAGAUAUUAGGAAGAACACCAAUGGCGAAGGCAGAUACCUGGAACGGAACUGACGCUGAGACGCGAAAGCGUGGGGAGCGAACAGG